UACAGAGGUCCCAAGCGUUGUUCGGAUUCAUUGGGCGUAAAGGGUGCGUAGGUGGCGGGGUAAGUCGGAUGUGAAAUCCCGGGGCUCAACCCCGGAACUGCAUUCGAUACUGCCUUGCUCGAGUACUGGAGAGGAGAUUGGAAUUUACGGUGUAGCAGUGAAAUGCGUAGAUAUCGUAAGGAAGACCAGUGGCGAAGGCGAAUCUCUGGACAGUUACUGACACUGAGGCACGAAGGCCAGGGGAGCAAACGGG
rnacentral:rRNA from 1 species